rnacentral:rRNA from 1 species
GAUGAACGCUGGCGGCGUGCCUAAUACAUGCAAGUCGAGCGAACGGACGAGAAGCUUGCUUCUCUGAUGUUAGCGGCGGACGGGUGAGUAACACGUGGAUAACCUACCUAUAAGACUGGGAUAACUUCGGGAAACCGGAGCUAAUACCGGAUAAUAUUUUGAACCGCGUGGUUCAAAAGUGAAAGACGGUUUUGCUGUCACUUAUAGAUGGAUCCGCGCUGCAUUAGCUAGUUGGUAAGGUAACGGCUUACCGAGGCAACGAUGCAUGGCCGACCUGAGAGGGUGAUCGGCCACACUGGAACUGAGACACGGUCCAGACUCCUACGGGAGGCAGCAGUAGGGAAUCUUCCGCAAUGGGCGAAAGCCUGACGGAGCAACGCCGCGUGAGUGAUGAAGGUCUUCGGAUCGUAAAACUCUGUUAUUAGGGAAGAACAUAUGUGUAAGUAACUGUGCACAUCUUGACGGUACCUAAUCAGAAAGCCACGGCUAACUACGUG